UCGGAUGCUAAGAUGGGUUGGGCCUGGUUAGUACUUGGAUGGGAGACCGCCUGGGAAUACCAGGUGCUGUAAGCUU
rnacentral:rRNA from 1 species